CGGCUCGAUGGUUGACUAUAUCACUUCAGAUGGAGCAACAUGGAAUCGAAAAAUGUGGAACAUACUUGGUGUAGGGGCAUCUGCAACCAGCACACAGUGUAGUGUUCGACAUCCUGUAGAUCCAGAGCGGCGACUGCAUUUUUAUGUGAUUUUUCCCAUUUGAUAAAGUGCUUGUGCAAUGGGCUACUUGGAUCUGGCUACCUGCUGCCAGAUGGUCCUGUGACACUUCGACCAGUACGCUCAGGUAUUGCCAAGGAUGGCAACAACGUGGCAAGGCCGGCCCUGCAGGCCCUGCACGGCAUAACAUCAAGCCACACGAACCCCAAUAGUUUUGAAGUUCAGAGAGUGUCGCUAGCCUUCCAACUGUUCAGCGACAAAAUGACUCAAGGACUGCGGCUGCACAGGGCGGCAAUUGAGGAUACCUGCGGCGACAUAUCUGCGACACUGCAUUUCUUUGAGACAAUUCGUGCCCUCAUCCAAGUUAUGACUUCUCGCUUUGCUGCUGAGGCUCUGCGCCAAAGAUCUACAUCCGUCGACAAGCUACAUUCUUUUUUGGCACUUCUAACAAGUUGGGAGCUCCAUACCAAAGGAAAGCAGGGCUUCUUAAGCAGGUCACCCGCUACAGGGUUGCGGGUGACAUUGUCAAGUGUGCUGUCACUCUUGGACUACCUAACUGAAAGUGUAGGUUUUAAGUACCUCAUGACUAGUCGGCUAAGCCAGGAUCCUGUUGAGCACCUGUUUGGUAUCGUGCGUCAGUCCUCCGGCUGCAAGUCCCUACACCUCAGCAGUUUGUCGUUACUGUAAACUGCCUUUCUUUCAGUAACCUUUCAGUAACCUCGCCCAUUCUGUCUCUAAGGGAAAUUGUGAACCCAGUGUCAUCAGUGCCUUGUUGGAUGCAGAUGCCAGACAGCAAGCCUCUCCAAGGGGAAGGCAGGAACUCAUCAACAAGUUCUUGGAGGCUGGCAAC